rnacentral:rRNA from 1 species
UACGAAGGGGGCUAGCGUUGUUCGGAUUUACUGGGCGUAAAGCGCACGUAGGCGGAUUGGUCAGUUAGGGGUGAAAUCCUGGAGCUCAACUCCAGAACUGCCUUUAAUACUGCCAGUCUCGAGUCCGGAAGAGGUAAGUGGAACUCCUAGUGUAGAGGUGGAAUUCGUAGAUAUUAGGAAGAACACCAGUGGCGAAGGCGGCUUACUGGUCCGGUACUGACGCUGAGGCGCGACAGCGUGGGGAGCAAACAGG